GUUUGAUGGUUGUUCCUGGCAGGAGGAGGAGCAGGAGAAGGAGCAGGAGGAGGAGGAGCAGGAGAAGGAGGUGGUACCUGAUUCCAGACAUGAGAAACGUCUCCAAAGCGAGAACAGGUUGGCUUGACAAGAAACCGGCAAUACAGAACAAACUUCUAAGGCACCAUCGGAGCUGCAGCCAGUCACUCCUCGGCCUUUGCUGCACGGU